rnacentral:rRNA from 1 species
UGGGGAAUAUUGCACAAUGGGCGCAAGCCUGAUGCAGUGACGCCGCGUGGGGGAUGACGGCCUUCGGGUUGUAAACCUCUUUCGACAGGGACGAAGCUUUGGUGACGGUACCUGUAUAAGAAGCACCGGCUAACUACGUGCCAGCAGCCGCGGUAAUACGUAGGGUGCGAGCGUUGUCCGGAAUUACUGGGCGUAAAGAGCUCGUAGGUGGUUUGUCGCGUCGUCUGUGAAAUUCCGGGGCUUAACUUCGGGCGUGCAGGCGAUACGGGCAUAACUUGAGUGCUGUAGGGGAGACUGGAAUUCCUGGUGUAGCGGUGGAAUGCGCAGAUAUCAGGAGGAACACCGAUGGCGAAGGCAGGUCUCUGGGCAGUAACUGACGCUGAGGAGCGAAAGCAUGGGGAGCGAACA